GAGUUUGAUUAUGGCUCAGAUUGAACGCUGGCGGCAGGCUUAACACAUGCAAGUCGAACGGUAGCAGGAAGAAAGCUUGCUUUCUUUGCUGACGAGUGGCGGACGGGUGAGUAAUGCUUGGGAAUCUGGCUUAUGGAGGGGGAUAACUGUGGGAAACUGCAGCUAAUACCGCGUAAUCUCUGAGGAGUAAAGGGUGGGACCUCUUGGCCACCUGCCAUAAGAUGAGCCCAAGUGGGAUUAGGUAGUUGGUGGGGUAAAGGCCUACCAAGCCUGCGAUCUCUAGCUGGUCUGAGAGGAUGACCAGCCACACUGGAACUGAGACACGGUCCAGACUCCUACGGGAGGCAGCAGUGGGGAAUAUUGCGCAAUGGGGGGAACCCUGACGCAGCCAUGCCGCGUGAAUGAAGAAGGCCUUCGGGUUGUAAAGUUCUUUCGGUAAUGAGGAAGGGAUGUUGUUAAAU
rnacentral:rRNA from 1 species